UUAUAGUGAUGUACUUUUUAGGGUUCACGAAACAUCCAUUCACCUCCCUCUAGAUUCCAUAACUACGAAUACUUACCUAAACUUCCAAUUUUCUUCACAUUUUGCACCUUUAGUUUAAUAUUAUCCUCCUGCUCCCUGUUUUUAAAAAGUUGACUUGUUCUUUUUAAUCUAUUUCAAAUGAAAUGACUCUUUUUUUCUUUUUAGAAAUACUUCAGUUGCAACUUCUCGUAUGACACGUUUAAAAUCACAUGAUUAAAUGACAUUUUAAAUUUGAUAUAACUUUAAUUUAAGAUUAUAAAAUUUAAAAGUCUCUUUAUCUUUUUAAACUUCGUGCUAAGUUAAACUACGUCACUCAUUUGAAACACGAGGGAGUAAGAAUUUUUCUGGAUGCAAAACUACAAAAAUAUUUUUUGUUGCAUUAGAAUACUUGUACUUUAUAGAUUAUGACAUUCAAAUUAAUAACUUUAUAAUUUUAUAAAUAAUUAAACUUUAUGCACUGUACAAUUUUUUAUUAAAUUAUAACAAAGUCUAUCAAACAAGGUGAUUAUACUAUUAUAUGAUAGAUAAAAAUUUGUUAUUUUACUCGUAUAUUGGGUAAUACGUUUUAAUGUAAUAAAAAUAAUUGUAAGUCAUUUAAUUUAAUGUUAUAAUUUCAGUUGCUUAGUAUGUAACAGAAAAAUAGCUCUAUUAUUUGAAAAAACAGGUUAGUAAUCACAUGUGAAGUUAAUCUAAAUUUCCUUUGAGAUUAAUUAAAUAUUAGAUUUUACUUGUUUGAGGCAUAGGUAACAACGAAUGAUAUAUCUCCAAUUACGUAGCUUCAAAAAUUGAUUAAUUAUGUGUGUCCCUCCAUCUUUCAAUGCUAAACAUGUGUCUCAUUUCUGUAAUUCCUUCAAACUUCUAUUUGUUUCAAUUCAUCCCCUCAUAUUAUCGUUUUCAAUUUGUUUGAUGUCGCCGAGUUCUUUGUCUACGAUUUUUAGUUUUGUUUUUCGAUUGAUGCAUUGUCGUGGAAUUUCUUGUUGGUUAAUCCAGAUACUUUAAUUUGAUAUAUUGUUGGCUCAGAUUUAUACCUGUCAAACAAGCCAGGCUGGCCCAGCCCGACCCAUUUUAAAAAAUGGCUCCGUUUGAUCCGACACGGUCAGCCCACGGGCUGUAGGAUACCAGGCCUCGGGCCGGUCUAUUUUUGGUUUUAGGCCCAGUUAACCCGGCUCGGACCAAGCUUGAUCCAGGCCUGCCGGUUAAUCGGCCCGGUUAAUUUUGUUUUAUUUUUUUUUUUUUAAAAAAAAAAAUGAACUAAUUUAUAUAAAGUAUUAUUAAUUAAUUAUAUUAAGUAACAUAUAUUUUAUUUAAAGAAGUACAUAUAUUUUAUAUGUGGACGUAUAUAUUGAAUGACACGUAUAUAUGUGUAUAUAUCUUCUAUAGACGUAUACAUUUAAUGUAUAUAUAUUUGUAUAUAAUUUAUAAAUUAGUAUAUCACUAUAUAUAUACUGUGUGUAUAUAUUGUAGUAUAUUUGAUUUAAAGUAGUACGUAUAUAUUGAAUAGUACAUAUAUAUGUUUAUAUAUUUUCUAUAGACGUAUAUAUUUAAAGUAUACAUGAGUAUAGUUUUAUAAAUUAGUGUAUAACUAUAUAUAGUGUGUGUGUGUAUAUUGUAGUAUAGUUAUAUUUUAGUAUAUUUUAUUUAAAGUAGUACGUAUAUAUUGAAUGGUACGUAUAUAUGUGUCUUUAUCUUCUAUAGACGAAUAUAUUUAACGUAUACAUGUGUAUAUGUUUUAUAACUUAGUAUAUAACUAUAUAUAUAGUGUAUGUAUAUAUUAUAGUAUAUUUUAUUUAAAGUAGUACGUAUAUAUUGAAUGGUACGUAUAUAUAUGUAUAUAUCUUCUAUAGACGUAUAUAUUUAACGUAUACAUGUGUAUAUAUUUUAUAAAUUAGUAUAUAACUAUAUAUAGUGUGUGUGUAUAUAUUGUAGUAUGUAUAUAUAUUGUAGUAUAUUUUAUUUAAAGUAGUACAUAUAUAUUGAAUGGUACGUAUAUAUGUGUAUAUAUCUUCUAUAGACGUAUAUAUUUAACGUAUACAUGUGUAUAUGUUUUAUAAAUUAGUACAUAACUAUAUAUAUAGUGUGUGUGUGUAUAUUGUAGUAUAUAUAUAUUGCAGUAUAUGUUUUAUUUAAAGUAGUGCAUAUAUAUUGAAUGGUGCGUAUAUAUGUGUAUAUAUCUUCUAUAGACGUAUAUAUUUAACGUAUACAUGUGUAUAUGUUUUAUGUAUAUAUAUAUAUAUUGUAGUAUAUAUAUACUGUAGUAUAUAUUUUAUUUAAAGUAGUAUGUAUAGUCGUAUAUAUUGAAUGUUACGUAUAUAUGUGUAAUUGUGUCUAUCUGUAUAUAUUUUUUAAAUUCUAAUGUAGUAUAUACAAUAUAUAUAAUGUAUAUAUAUUGUUUAACGUAUUUAAAAUGUAUAUAGGUGGGUAUAUAUAGUGUAUAUUGAAAAAAAAACUUUGGUUUUUGAUCGGAUUUAGAUGGGCUAGACUUGGUUGAGCUAAGUGGGCCGAUUCAGGGUUGUUUUUAAAAAUUUUACUGUUGAAUCCGGACCUAGUUCGGCCCACUUAACUACAACUCGGACCAGCCCGGCCCACAACCCGACUACAUUUAACGGGUCAAUUUUAGAUUGAACAGGCCCGACCCAUUUAACACCCUUACUCAGAUUGAAAGGAAUUUUGAGUGUGGGAUUUAUUCUUGUAUUAAAAAAAAAAUCUUUUAUUUUUCUUUCUUACGAGGAAAAAAGUACAAGUUCAUCUAAUUUCUAUUAUUAUAUAAUAAGUGAAACCUUGGUGGUGCUACCAAGGAUAGUUUGAUAAUUAAAGAAGGAUAUACUCGCAUUGAAUGGAACACGUAACAUAUUUAGGACUCAUUUGGUAGAGUGUAUAAAAUAAUAUUGAAUAUGUUGUAUUAGUAAUACUGAAAUUAGUAGUGCAGGGAUUAAUAAUAUUAGGAUUAGUAAUAUUGGGAUUAUUUUUUAUGUAGUGUUUAGUUUGAUGCAUGGAAAACAAUAUGUAUUGUUAUAUUUUAGAGUAAAUACAUAAUUACACCACUGAUCUUGUCCGAAAUUUUUAAAAAGACACCUAAACUUUAACUUCGACCUGUUACCCCACAAAUCUUCUUUAUUUCGUUGCAAAUACAUCAUUUUGACCCUCUAUGUGUAUACACGCGCCACAAACGCGUGAAAAGACAAAAAAUGACUUUUUUUGACCAAUUAGAAGCUGUCACAUGUAAAUAAUUUAAUAUAUAUUUUAUAUUCUUUUACAAAAAAUAUUUAUUUAUUUUAAAAAAUUAUUUCAUAACCCUCCACCCACCCCACCCACGCAACCCCACUCAUCCAUCAUUGUCUUCUUCCCCAACUUCUUCUUCAUCACCAUAACUCAACAACAACAUCAAUUACAACAACAACAACAUCAUCAUCACCAUAAUUUAAAAAAAGAAAUCUGAUGUACAAUCUCCAUUUUAAUGGAGGGAAUUGGACGGGAAUGGGGGAGAGAGGUGUUGGACGGGGUAGGGAUGGGGAGGUGGGGUGGGGUCCUAAAUAAAAAUGGAGUUUAAAGCUUCAUUAAAAUGAAGAUUGUACAGGAGCUUUAAGCUCCAUUUUAAUGGAGGAAACUAGACGCGGGGGGAGGGGGGAGUUGUUGGACGCGGGUGAUAAAUUAAAUAAAAAAGAAAAAAUUUAUUAAAAAAUAAAUAAAAUAUGAAAUUAAAAAUAUUUGACACGUGGCAGCACCUGAUUGGUGCGUGCAUUCACUCUUUUUUUUGUGACUGAGAUUCAGUGAAAAAUGGUGUAUUUGCAAUCAAAUAAAGAAGAAUCAUGGGGUAAUAGGUCAAAAUUAAAGUUUAGAUGUCUUUUUGCAAAACUCGAACAAGAUCAGUGGGAUAAUUAUGUAUAUACUCUUUAUUUUAUAAUUAUCUGUAAUUACUACCUCCCAUUCACAAUUAAUGUAAGCAUCUAAUCUCUUGAGCUAAAGAGAAUUUUCUUUCUUCUUAGCUAUUUGAUUAUAGCGAAAAUAGGGUUGAAUUUUGUACGAAGACAUUGAUGUAAGCGUUAGUUAUUUUGAGUUCAACAUAAAUUUCUUCAUCUCGCCUAUUGAAUUUCUCAUCAUUUUCUUCAAGAAAAAUAUUUUCAACAAAAUAUGAAAAAAUUAGUCCCUCAUCUAUGGACUUUAAAAGUUGAUCUAUUUAACAAAUAUUUGCAACAACUACAAAUAUUUCUAGUCUUUCAAAUUUGAUCCAAAUAAGUGAUUUUUUUUUGUAAAAAAAUAAUUUUGUCACCAAGUAGAGAGUUUACAAAAUUAGACAGAGCUGACUAACUAUCUCUCAAAAAAAUAAAAACACAAAACGUAACUGAAAGUAGGACUCACACUAACAAGCCUAGGAAGUCACUACUCAGAACUAAGAACUAUCAACACAAUAUUAAGCAAUUAACCCGUGCAAACAAAAUCAGGAAAAAAAAAACUUAAGGCAUAGAGUUCAGCUGUUGCAGAUGUGUAGACCAUUUUCUUUGUUGCCUUCCUCUGAUGUGUAUAUGAACAACUAUCUCCUUGGAGACUCUAUUAACCUGGUACCUAAUUUGGCUCGUUUCUCUCCAAAUGAUAGUGACCAUCAUAGCAAAUACACAACAAAUAAUAGCACCUUUCUCUGAUAUGCCUUUUGCUCAGCUAAUGAUCCACUCUAUUUCAUGGUGCCAGCAACCUACAGUUCUGUGAACACCAAGCCAUACUAACAUUCUGUACCACAGUCCACUAGUCACUAGACAAUCAAAAGGUAGGUGAUUAUGUGUUUGUACAGCAUUAUGACAGAAGACAUAGGAGGAAUCAACAAUAACUUUUAAUUUUACUAGUCUAUCCACUGUUGCAAGCCUUUUCAAUAGGCAAAGCCACAAGAUGAAGUUAUGCUUUAGAUGAAUGGUAGCUUGGAGGGCAAUACUUUUCCAAGGAACUUUUGGAAGGUCUGGUAGCAAUGGCUGUGUAGAGCUUUUUGAUGGAGAACUUCCCUCUCACUGUUAACAUGGCUAAUCUUAAAUGAAAAUCAUCCUGCAACCCAGGAUCCUGCAUAAUAACUCUAUUUGAUUACAUCAUUUUUCUAAUAACCCAAGUAGCUCUUUUAGGAGUGCAACAAUCCUCAACAGUAUCACCUAUCUAUACAACCCACUACCUUAGGCAAUACAAAUUUUCUCCCAAGAUACUAAGUCUCUCUUAGAGGGGCAUGUAUGACCUAUCUAUAGGAAUAUCCUACAUGGGUAUUAAUAAGAUUCAUGAUCUUCUUGAGAAGUAUAAAGACCUGUGCCCAAUAAGUUUAUUUGCUAAACACAACAUACUUUUAUUAAUUGGAGCUUGCUUGAGUAUGCUAACAACUUUGUUGAUCAAUACUUUAUUUUUUCAAGAAUUUUAUCCACUGGAGGAAAGCAUUAUUCUACUGUUAGUUUUAUAGAGGAAAGUGGAAUUCCAAGGUAUUCGGAGAAGAUUUAGGUAGAAGUACACUUUGAAAACUUAUUUUGGAAAAUAGACACCUUUUUUAUUUGACCUAAUUUUUUAGAGUUUUGUGGGGUAUGGGUUAAAGUGUAAAAUAUAAAAAACUUUUGACACCCCUUAAGUAUUUAUUAAAUCUUUUGGAACCUCUUUAUGUAUUUAUUAAAUAUAUUUUUAACCCCACUCUUCCAUUAAUAUAAAAAAAAAAUUCUUUCUCAUCUUCUCUCCUUACUCUCUCCCGUUUCAUCUCUCCUUUCCACCAUUUUCAAUUUCGAGCUUGUGUAAAUUAUCUCCAACUUCGAUCUUCAACUUCUUCGAUCUUCAACUUCAGGUAAGUUAUAUUCAUCUUCCGAUUAAUUUGUGCUCCAUAUUGAUGAUUUUUUUUUUCGAAUUCGUUUGUGGAGGUUGAACUCAUUGGAGUUAAAAAAAAUUGAUUUCUUUUUGAAAACGAGGCUUGAUUUUAUUGAAAUUGGUUGUUUUUAGUUGGUAUUUACUUGAUUGUUGAUGGAUAAUUGGAGUAUAUUGAUUAUCCUUGGCGAUUGUAUGUUAAAAUUUCUUCACUAUUUUCAUCGAAAUGUGGCAAGAUAUGUGAUUUUGGUUCAAACUUUUCUCUAAUGUAAUGGUUUUGUAGAAGCAUGUUCAUGUUGGGGAUUUCUUGGUUUGAAUCAUACUCGUAUUUGAUAUUUGAACCCAAAAAAUUGAAUUUUUUUUGAAAAAAUGGGACUUGAUUUUACUUAGAAUUUGUGUUUUUAAGUUGGUAUUUGGUUUGAUUGUGCAUUGUUUUUGUUGGAUUUUAAUUUUCCUCGAUGAUUGCAUUGAGAUUUUUUUGCCAAUUUUCUCGGUUUGUGUGCUAAAAAUCUGGGUUUCUUCCUGUUUUUGUUCAAUGUAAUGGUGAUUUAGAUGCAUGUUCUUAUGGGUGAUGGAGUUGUUUUGGAAGAAACUUCUUCUGCAAAUAGGCUUUUUUGGUGUUGCAACUGCUGUCAUGUUAAUAGACUGCUAGGUUGAUUAGGUAUUGUAUUUGCUGUUAUAGCUGAGAAAUGUUAUUUUUUGUCCGUAGAUCAUAACAAUGGCUCUAGGUAACAAACGCAAGGCUGUAGAAGUUGAUAGGUCUGAGAAAAGAAAAAAACAAGUAGUCGAUGAAUCAAAGAAUAGAAAUUGUAGCGAGAAAACUGUUGAAGCUUCGGUUCGAGAUAAGCCAGAGGAAAUAGAAAUUAAGGCUAGGAUAGAUGAGGAAGCAUUAAUCUUGCCCCACUGUGACAAGGGUUAUUUCAUCUAAGAGGUACGGCCUCGCCACAGUCCUGGAUGAUGUCGGAUUAUUUUCGGCUAAGAUAUCCGUUAGGUCCCGUUUGAAAAUGUUUAAUGAAUUCAAACAAGUCGUGGUUGAUCAACGUCUGAAGUCUAGGUUUAAGAAUUCCUAUUUUGAUGGUUUAUGGGACUUGCCAGAACAUAUGAAGUUCAACGGACAGCUUGUCCACUAUACACUUCUUCACCGAGUUGAACAGGACAACAAGCUGCAUGAAAUGUGGUUCUGCAUCAAUGACAGGCCUGCAUUUUUUGGCCUGAAAGAGUUUGCGGUAAUCAUAGGUUUAAACUGUGGGCGUUAUUUUCGUGAUUCAAAAUAUGUCAAAGCAAUGGAGGAGGGUGAAUCUUUUUUCAAAAAGAUUAUGAAAAAGAAGAGUGUAAAUGCGAAGAGAUUGUUGAAGUUUAUUAGAGGUGGGAGGCUGGACAAGGAGGACAAGUUCAAAUGCUACUUGGUUUGGUUCGUGCACUGCAUAUUGCUUGAACGCGACUUGUCAAAAAUCGUGGAUAUAGAAACAAUCAAGAUGGUGGAUAAUUUGAGCUUAUUUGAGAGAUACCCUUGGGAUAAGGAAUCAUUUACCUUGACUCUAGACUAUCUAAAGAAGUGGAUAGACUUCAGCAGGCAGAAGAAGACAUUUGAGACAAAGGGAGUUUCAUCGUAAGCAUUCUACGAAUUUGCCUGGGCAUUUAUCGUAUUUGGUUAUAAACUAUUGAAGUAGUUUAUAAUAUACUGUAAUUCAUCUAUGGUGUCUAUAAUAUAAUGACUCUCAGUUAUAUGUUUUUGUUUUUUUUUAAUCACAGAUUUGGAUAUACGAAGCCUUUCCCACGCUCGACAGGGGAAAUGGUAAAUUAACUGAAGACCCGCUGCCUAUUCCCCGAUUGCUUAGAUGGCACACUUCAAAAGGCGAUAAACUAAUUGAAAGUGAUCUAUAUUUGAACGGAUGAAGCACAAAGGUAUGAAACUAUUUUUCCAAAGAAUACUUUUACCAAUAUUGUGUUGCUAAUCAAUCAUAUUUGCCUAUUUAUCUGUAGAGAGUACAUCCGCACCUUAUCCCCACAGUUUGUGAAAUAAAGUAGCACUACAUGAAAAAGUUCAAAGCAUUCACGGACGAACCGAAGUACACGUUCAUCGAUAGCUUGAAGGCCCACCUGGAGGGUGUGACUGUCAUGACCUCAUCAGAGGAUGAUAAGGAUGGGGAUGAUGACCGAAAUUUGGGUGGAAAUGCUAGUUUAAGGCAUGUCACUCGGGGUGCGGGGACGAGUAAGCCGAGGGCAUCGAAAAAGACACCAUGAUUAAAAAUUUGAAAGAGUGGGUAUUUAAGCUGGAGGAGUCGAUUAAGGAAAUCGUUGAUUUUGUGAAAGAGGAGAGGCUGAGGAGAGCAGAAAAGGAGAAGCAAGAGAAGAGAGAUAAAGAUGAAGGUAAUAUCUGCUCUAUAUAUUAUAUAAGUUGCAUAUUUUAUAUAAUCCCUUUUACUUAUAAUAGAAUCUAUACCAUUCUUCAUCAACCGAUAUCUUAAUUUAUUAUAAACGAAAAAUACUUAAAAAUGCAACUGUGCAGAUGCAAAGUCGGCAUUCAACGGCGAGGGUUGUCCAUGAUGAUAGCAGCAUUAAAGAAGCGCUCCUUGAGGUAGCAGCUUUAGAACAGGGCUCGAUCAAUGCUGAUGAGGUGAUGAUCCCUGAGGUUGCAGCUGUUGUAGAGAAGGAAAAUCUCGAUGAAGGCGAUGAAGAGAAAGAAGAAGAAAAAAAUUGAAGAACUUAUUUGUGAAGAAGAAAACAAAGCUGAUGGAUCAUCUGGUGUGGAGAAGAAGGAUCACGACGAAGACAGGCAGGAUGAAGAUGAUAAAAAUGAGAAAAGUGGUUGUGAAGAAGAAAAUAAUGAAGGAGAUAGAGAGAAAAUAGAAGAAGUAGAGAAAGAAAAGGGAGAAGAACAUAAAGAAGAAGGAAAAAAUUAUGCACCAGAAAAAGAAGGCAUCGUAGAGAAAGAAAAUGGAAAUGAAAAUGACAAUGAAUUUUCGAACUUAGAUGAAUUUCUUAAUGAAGUUACUCAGGAUAUCGACAAGAUACAAGUGGAAGACGAAAAUAUUAAAUGUUUAGACAAUGUUUAAUUUUUAUUUGUGGUUGAUGAUUAUUUUUAUUAGACUAGACAAUCUUAACUUUUUAAAUUUUCAGCUCGGGAUGUGUAGAGGUGAUCAAUUUUAUUUUCUAAACUACCUUUAUAGUUUAUGAUAAACAUUUUUUAUUUUAUAUAAUCAACGUAUCAUUGCUUUUACAUAAAUAUCAUCUUUGAUUAUAGACUCUGACUAAAAGGUAAAGCAUAUACAGUAGAGUGUUGUGUAGUCGAUGAAUGAAAAAGGUAAACCAUAUAUAAUAUAAGUAAAAAGUAGUCGAUUAAUAAAAGAGUCAGAAUACAUUCAAUCCCACUACACCCCAAUUACACCUUUCCAAAAAGCUAAAACUAAUAGUAAAUCAUACACCAUAAUUUUCAUGCCCUUUUCUUUUUCUUCAGCCAUAGCCAACCUAUGCUUAAGUUGAUCUCCCUCAAUUUCAACGUCUUUUAACAAUCCCUUUAAGUGAUCAAUCUUGUGUUUUGAUUCUUUAUAUAAUGUCAGAAGAAGAUCCCUGUUUUCUUCAGAAUCUCUAAGCCUUUCCAACAUAUCAAACUUUGCAACGCCUUAAAAUUUUGACACCCUAAAAUUGGAGGGAAGUCACUUGAAAUAAGAGCAUCCACCAUUAUCCUUAAAAAAAGAUGAUAAAUUAGUAAAUUGGAUUAUGUGAUGAACAAAAAUAAAUUUUUAUUUAAACAAAAACCAACCUCUCCAACCGCACAACUGUAGAAUUUUUUACCCGGAUUUCUAUCGAUUUGUGAUGUUUUCAACACCACAAGAUUACCACAAUGAUAAAUAUAAGAACAUUUGGACGUUUGAGAUGACUACAACAUUGUUAUUGUUGAAGCAAAACUAGAAAGUGAUGAAUAAAUGAACAUGGAGGAGUUCAAAAGGGUCCCUUUAAUUAAUAUAGUAGGGCUAUCUAAUCUGACCGUUGGAAAAUUUUGCCCAUUUGAAAUUGUACCGUUGGAGAAAAUUUAAAUGAAUUAUCAUUUACUUCAAAGGGUCUCUAGAGAAUGUUUAUGUCUUCUAUAAUCGACUGUGUCACGUAUGAAUUAUAUACUGGUAUCAGUGUUGAUGAUCCUGUAUAUUGACAUAUUAUUGAUUUAUACAGAGGUCGAUUAUAGACCUUUCAUAUAGUCUAUGAUCAACUUACUGAAUAUAUGGACAACUUAAAAUAAUGGUAAAAAAGGAGAAAUUAAAUAAAAUAAAAUUAGAGUAUGAUAAUUAACCCCAUUAAAAGAUUGUAAAGCAAUUUUGAUACAUCAAUUGUGACUCCCAAUCACUUUUAAACGUGAUAAAGUGUUUUCCAAGACACGGUGUAGUCGUAGAUCAUUGAGAUGACACAAGAAGGAGAAGAAAUAAAAUAAAAUAAAAUAAAAUAAAUAUUACUCAUCCAAGCACUAAAGAACGACUACUUAUCAUGACAAGAAAUUAGAUUUGUGUGAUGACCAUAAGGAAGAGUAGUGGUUGUCACUUGUGAGUGUUCAAUGAACAAGUAGUGCAUGAGAACAAGGAGUCCUUCUCAGCAGAGACGCUUGUUAUGAGUAAUUGGUUGUUACUACCAUUGCCCUCCCCUGUACUCAUUUGAUCGAGUGUCCAAUUAUUUUGUAAUCUCAUAUUAUGAUAUUUAGUCACUUUACAUUGCGCGAAUGAUGUUUAUUUUAUUUUAAUUCUUCCUUUUUUAAAUCUUACCUCCUUUGAAAAUAGACUUAGUUGGUCGAUACAUGACUAAUAAUAUAGUCUGGUAUAGAUAAAACUAAUUAUCUAUAAUAUACUCAAAUACCACCUGAGUCUAUUUUAAAAGGAGGUGAGAUUUAAAAAGGGGAGAAAUAAAAUAAAUAAACAUCAUUCACGCAAUGUAAAGUGACUAAAUAUCAUAAUAUGAGAUUACAAAAUAAUUGGACACUCGAUCAAAUGAGUAUAGGGGAGGGCAAUCCAAUUACUCAUAACAAGCGUCUCUGUUGAGAAGGACUUCUUGUUCUCAUACAUUACUUGUCCAUUAGCACUCACAAGUGACAACCACCACUUUUCCUUAUGGUCAUCACACAAGUCUAAAUCUCUUGUCAUGAUAAUUAGUCGUUCUUUAGUGCUUGGAUGAGUAAUAUUUAUUUUAUUUUAUUUUAUUUCUUCUCCUUCUUGUGUCAUCUCAAUGAUCUACGACUACACCGUGUCUCAGAUAACACUGGAUCACGUUCAAAAGUGAUUGAGAGUCCCAAUUGAUGUGCCAAAAUUUCUUUACAAUAUUUUAAUGGUGUUAAUUGUCAUACUCUAAUUUUAUUUUAUUUAAUUUCUCCCUUUUGACAUUAUUUUAAGCUGUCAAUAUAUUCAGUAAGUUGAUCAUAGACUAUAUAAAAGGUCUAUAAUCGACCUCUUUAUAAAUGGAUAAUAUGUCAAUAUACAGGAUCAUCAACACUGAUACCAGUAAAUAAUUCAUACGUGACACAGUCGAUUAUAGAAUUCGUAUUUAGCGUAGUCGAUUAUUUAUCUGUACUGUACUUCGAGUUUAAAUAAUAUUUGUAAAUCUUUAAAUAGGGACUAUUGAAGAAACACCAACAAAUCAUUAUAGAUAAAUAGAAUAUCAUGAAGACAAAAACUUGUUUAUAGAUAUAUAAAUAUUCAUUACAUCUAUAUUUAUAAUUUUUGAAAAAAAAAUUCCUAAAAAAAGUCAAAAACGAAGCUUUAAUUUACAUAAUCCUACCAUGAAAGCUUAAUUCGGCAAUGAACUACAAAACAAACAAACCUAAACUAGACUAGGGAGAUGAAGGGGGGGGGGGGUUGAUGAUUUCACGAGGGUCUUGGUUGAGCCUCUCGAUUAUGUCCCAAAGAAAAUGAGCCAUCCGUCGGAGCUCUCUAUCCAUCCGUCGUUGAUCGGCGGCAAGACCCUGAAAAAGGAAAUCCAGGUCACUCCGAAGCCUAAGAAACUCUAUGUUGUUAAUUGUUGUCAUUUUGUGCAUUGGUCGUAAUGUGUACCUUCUCCUAGCCAUCUUCUUCUCCCUUAAUCUUUUUCUUAAAAAAUUAGGUUUGAAAUCGACAAGGGCCUCUUUAAAUAGACCAGAGCAUGAGAAAAUCUACCAAUAGAAGCUGUACACGUGUUGAUGGAAGGGGAGAAGGCAUGCGAGAAUAAAAAAUAAAAAGUCACGGCGGCUGUGGCAGUCGAGGCAUUUCAAAUCGCAUUAUUUUUGGAAGUGUAAUAAUUACAUUAAAAGGAUCAGUGUAUGAGGAAAAAGGUUUUUUUAAUAGACUACAAGACUAAUCGAUGAUAUACUAUGUAGUUUAAACUAUACCCCAUAGACCAUGCAUCGAUUCAUUAUAUAUUUUGAGUCCAGUCGAUGUGUAAUGUGCAUAAUCGAUUUCAUAACUUGGGAUGACUGUUUUCAAAAUGACACUUUUUCUAAUGCGUCAUAAUUAUUUUGAAUUCAACAUUGUAUGAAGAAAAUGAUUUGUUAAUAGACAACCAGGAAGAUUUAUUAUACAGUAUUUAUUAAAUAUUUACUCUGUAGACCAAACACUGAUAUAUUAUAUAUUAUGAGGCUGGUCGAUUAUUUUAAUCUAUAAUCUAAUUAGUAAGUAGUAUAUAAUAUAUGAACUGAUAUCGCUAAUGCACAAUAAAAAAAAGUCAAUUUAAACUGCAGUUCAGUAGUUUUCAAAACAGAAUAUACAUUACAUACUGUCCAGUGCAUUUGAACAAACAAAAACAUAAAAUACAAUGCCAAUCAUAUUAUCCUACGUUAUGGCUACAUGUUGUUCUCUUAUGUCCCGGCCUUUUGCACUUGGAGCACUUAUUUUUUUUCUUGUACCUUGAAGGCUCCAAAACACCCUUAACAUGUUUCACCUUCCUCCUUUCGAGUUUGGGAUCAAAAUCGGGUAGAAGAAUUUGCAUUUCUAGAUACUCUCGCGGCCACACUCCACUCCGACUCCAGUGGUGCUUCACAAAUAGGUUCCAAGUAUGCAAGGAGGUAUGACUCUUUCGAAUAUAUUUACGAAGAGUAGUUGUAAAUUCUAGUGACGUAUUCAUCCCCGUGCUUCAAACGCAAUACUGCCAUUGCAUGAGCGCAUGUUAAUUUCACCAAGUUGUACUUUCUGCAAGAACAUAACCGUCUCGAACGAUUAACUUUGGCUGAAUGACCAUAACCAAGAACGGUGAAUUAGUCGGUGCUUCCGUUUAUGUUAUUCACAUAUAAUUUGUCGCCUUCGGUCAUGUUUUCACUCAAUAUCAUCUUGGCUACGAGAACGAAUAUUGUCUUUGAAUUGUCUACCUCCGUAUACCUCUUCUUAAAUAUUUCUCUGAACCUAUGAAUUGAAGAUGGCCGCCAUUGGAUACUCUCUUUCAUCGCGUAACAUUGAGUUGAGCGACUCGGUGAUGUUUGUGGUCAUGACGUUGUAUCGAUUACCUGGAAAGUGAGCCCAACUUCACUUUUCAAAUCCAACUUCAUGCUCGAGGUAAGCUGCUAGGAUGGGGCAUCUUUCUUUAAGGGCGUUGAAGUAGUCAUUAAAUUCUUCCAACGUGUACGCCUUGGCCGCAUGGUAGUACAAAUAGAGAGAAUUGGAGCAAUGGUGAUUUGUUAAAAGAUUUUCACCAAGAUGCCUCAUGCAAACACCAUGAUGCAUAGUCGGAUAAUGCCUUGUGAGGCCGUUGGCUAUGCUUACGUGUCUGUCAGAGAUAAUGCACAACUCUGGUUCGUCGACGGCAAAGGCUUUAAGCUUCUCAAAGAAGAAGCCCCACGAUGCUUCGUUCUCUUUAUCCACCACACGAUACGCUAAGGGAUAGAUAUGAUUCUGCGUAUCUUGAGCGACAUCGGACAACAGCACGCCCUCGUACUUGCUGGAAAAAUGCAUGCCAUCAAUGGCAAUGACCUUUCUCAUAUGUGCAUAUCCACGGAUAAAACCCCAAACGCCAUAAAGUAGUAAAUAAACCUGCCCAACUUCUCGUCGGCCAUGAGAGAAUUAAUAGACCCGGGAUUGAGGCCAUUAAAAACAUAUAAAAAUGUGGGAAGCACUGCAUAUCCAUGCUCGGGCGUACCUCGAACUAUGUUCUUAGCAAUGACGCCUGCCAUUCAACACUUCCUACAGCCCGGUCUGCAAUGUAGCUCCCUAAAUACGAUCCUCUCGAUCUCUUUCAGACUUGGACCUUUGUUGUUGACAAAAAAGUUCAAAAUAAGUAAGGCAAUGACCUCCACGGUGACAUUCUUGUGCUUUCCCGUGACAUGAUCAACGCCACAAGUAUGCUCUCCUACGUACUUAUGGAUAUGAAACCAACCUGAUUCUCUGAUAGCACAUACGUGCACCAUUCACUGGCAAGUAGGAUCUUCGCACCUCACCCUCAAGUAUUUCUUACAACUCUUCACCAUUAUGUAAUUGAACGAUAUUUUCACCAAUGCCUGCUUCAACAAAAGAUUCAAUAUUUUCUUAUCCUUGAAUGUUUGUCCUGCAAAAAAGUUGGUGUCAUCCGAGAAAAAGUAACUUCUUUAUGGUUCGAGCUUUUCGUCCUCACCUCUUCCACACUCUUCUUCUUUAUAAUCUUCACUAUUAUCCCAUUCAUCACCACCCAUCGAAUCGGAUUCUGUUGAUGUAUCAUUCACUAUCGAGGGUGGGGGUGGGGGUGGGGGUUAUCAGAAUCAACGCAAAGCAUAUAUAAUUCCACGUGUCUAUUAUUCCUUAUAAACGUUGGAUGUAUUUUCCCCCUCCCAAUCAUCAAGUAACUAAUUAGCACCUCGCUUUGAUCACAACUUAAUUCACCGCUCUCCAUUACGCUUUUAACCAUAUCAACGUAUGAACUGUAGUGACGAAGGGCAAUGGACACUAUCUCCUUAGACGCAGUUUUCCAAACCCAACAUUUAGGAGUCUCCUUCCAUUCACCAGAAAAUAUACCACCAGCAACCACGUAAUCUAUAAUAGACAUGAUAUACCUUGAUAAUAGUAUUUAAUAGACUUAAAUAGUGGUUUAUACGCUUAACUUAAUAUACUGAAGUCUUUUUCUUCUUAGCUGCUAGUCGUACAGUGCAUAAUCUACCCUUUUUUUAUGACCACUAGAAUAAUCCGAUGAAUUUCAGCUUACAAACAACCUAAGGAGUGUUGGGAUAUUGCUAUUGAGCCAAUAAUCAAUUUUGAAAUGUGGGACUGAUUUUCAAGCUUUUUGUAUGAAAAUGGAAGAAAAAUCAGAGCUAAAAAUAAGCAAAAAUGACUUAAAAUAAUGGAGAUAAUGUCACUUUCAGAUGGAUGCCAAAAAAUUCGAUGAAAAAUGGUCGAAAAAUCGAGGAAAUGACACCAAAAUUGGGUGGUUGGAGUGGAUCGGUUGAGAAGCUUUGGGAUAUUUUUUUUUAAAAUUAAUUAUCCAAUAUUUAUAUUUUUAGAGAUGGACUAAAGUGUAGUUGUAAAAUAAUUGAGGCUGAAAUGGGGAAAGGGGAUAAAGUGUGUAUUUUGUAAGUUGAGUGCUAGGGUUGCAUUUUCUUUUUGUGGUCCCAUUAAAGUGUCUAUUUUUUCAAUUAAAAAAACUUGAUGUCUAAAUGUCAAAAAAGGUUUGGGAAGUGGCCUUUUAGCCAACUCCCCCAGGUAUUUGAAUGGGAGAGUCCCUUCACAGAACCCCAGAGACUGGAUAAUCUGUUGUUUCACUAAGUCUUUAACACCUAACAUGAAUAUUGAGCUCUUGUCUUGAUUGGCUUGUAACCUUAAAGUUAUAGAAAAUUUAUAUAAUGUUUGGUGCAAGAGCUCUAUAGAGGCAGUGUCACCAGGUGAUUCGAGCUAGUCUUAUUUCAUCUGUGAGGGGUAGGGGUGCUAUUAGAGGUGCAAAGGGUAGAGGUAGUAGAGCUCAAUGGGGUGGCCAUGGGGCCACUCAGGCUAUUGGUGGUCAUGGGGCUACCCAGGUAGCUGGUGGUUGUGGUCAAUGUUAUGCUAUACCAGCCAGACCUGAGGCAGAGGCUUCUGAUGCUGCUAUUAUAGGUAUUAUCCCUAUUUAUUUCAGACCUGCAUCUAUAUUAUUUGAUCCCAAAUUGACUUUCUCCUAUGUGUCUGUAUAUUUUGCUUCGGGUUUUGAUUCUGUUAGUGAGCCUCUUGCUAUGCCUAUUCAUGUAUCCACCCCGGUAGGUGAUUCUUUAGUGGUGGAUUAGGCUCACCGAUCUUGUGUUGUGACUUUUGUCGGGCAUGAGACUUUGAUAGACUUGCUUGUGUUAGAUAUGAUCGAUUUGUGAUGUUAUUUUGGGUAUGGAUUGGUUAUCUCCUUAUCAUAUUGUGUCAGAUUAUUUUGCCAAGAUCGUGACUUUAGCUUUGCCGGGUGUGCCAAGGAUAGCUUGGAAGGGUACACUUUAUUCGGAUCCUAAGAGGAUUAUAUCUUAUGUACAGGCUCGUAAAUUGGUUGAGAGGGAAUAUUUAUCUUACUUUGCCCAUAUUCGUGACACUAGUGUUAUUUUGCCUCCUUUCUUAGAUUCUGUCCGUAUUAUCCAUGAGUUUAUGGACGUGUUCCCUACGGACUUGCCUGGUGUGUGUCCAGAUUGAGAUAUUGAUUUCGCCAUUGAUGUUGAGCCGGGCACCAAACCCAUUUCUAUUCCUCCUUUUAGGAUGGCACCAGCAGAGUUGAAGGAGCUAAAGGAUCAGUUGCAGGAGUUGGAUAAGGGACUUAUUUGACCUAGUGUUUCACCUUGGGGUGCACCUGUAUUGUUUGUAAAGAAAAAAGAUAGGUCUAUGCGGAUGUGUAUUGAUUAUCGACAGUUGAAUAAAGUGACGGUUAAGAAUAAGUAUCCUCUUCCUCACAUUGAUGAUUUAUUUGAUCAUCUUCAGGUUGCUGCAGUGUUUUCAAAGAUUGAUUUGAGGUUCGGUUAUCACCAGUUGAGGAUUAGAGCUUCAGAUAUUCCAAAACUACUUUUCGAACUCGAUAUGGUCAUUAUGAGUUCUUGGUCAUGUAUUUUGGAUUGACCAACUCAACUACCUCAUUCCUGGAGUUCGUGAAUCAGUUAUUUUGACCAUAUCUCAACUCCUUUGUUAUUGUGUUUAUAGCUGAUAUCUUGGUUUGUUCCAAGAGUGAGGUUGAGCAUGAGAAGAAUUUGUAAAUUGUGCUUCGGAGAUUGAGGGAUGCGAAGUUGUAUGCUAAGUUCUCUAAGUGCGAAUUUUGGUUGGAGUCUGUUUCUUUCUUAGGUCAUGUGGUGACUAAGGAAGGUAUUAUGGUUGAUCCAACCAAGGUUGCAGCAGUUCGUGACUGGGCUAGACCUACUUCGCCCAUUGAGAUUCGGAGUUUUAUUGGCUUGGCUGGGUAUUAUCAGUAUUUUAUUGAGAUUCAUUGUAGCUCCAUUGACCAAGUUGACCCAGAAGAAGAUUUCUUUUCAGUGGUUCGAUGGUUGUGAGGCGAGCUUUCUGAAACUCAAGGAUUUAUUCACUUCAGCUCCUAUAUUAGCUUUGCCUAAGGAGGGCGUGGGCUUUACUAUUUUUUAUGAUGCUUUAGGUAUUGGGUUAGGUGCCGUGUUGAUGCAGGAGGGUAAGGUAAUUACGUAUGCAUCUCGUCAAUUGAAUCCUCAUGAGAGAAAUUAUCCUACCCAUGAUUUGGAGUUGUGCGCAGUUGUGUUUGCCUUGAAGUUGUGGAGACACUACUUGUAUGGAGUCCGUUGUGAGAUCUUCUCAGAUCAUCAUAGACUUCAGUACUUUUUUACCAGCUAGAUCUUCAUAUGAGGCAGCGCCAUUAGCUUGAGUUGCUUAAGGAUUAUGACUUGACUAUUCUUUACCAUCCGGGCAAGCCUAAUGUGGUUGUGAAUGCCUUGAGCCAAAACUCAACUAGCAUGGGCAGCUUGGCGCAUCUUUUGACCCAGGAGAGGCCUUUGGCCUUAGAGGUUUAUUUUUUAGCUAACCAGAUGGUUAGACUUGAUAUUUCGACACCAGGGUGUGUUUUGGCAUUUGUAGAUGCUAGAUCUUCUUUGAUGGAGUAGAUUCGAGCUCAUUGGUUUGGUGAUGUUGGAUUGAGGUUGAUUUGAGAUAAGGUAUUGAGUGGGGAGGAUAAGGUAGCCUCACUUGAUUCAGAUGGAGUUUUGAGGAUAGGGGGCUGAGUUUGUGUGAUGAGAGUAGUGAUUAGAUUAGGCCCAUUGUUCUAGAUAUUCUAUCCAUCCAGGUGUGACUAAGAUGUAUCGUGAUUUGAGAUAACACUACUGGUGGGGUAGUAUGAGGUGAGACAUAGAGGAUUUUGUGGCUCGUUACAUAUGUCGUCAGCAGGUGAAGUCCAAGCAUAUGAGACUUUGUGGUUUGUUUCAGAGGUUACCAGUUUCCAAGUGGAAGUGGGAACGAAUCACUUUGGGCUUUGUGAUUGGUUUUCAUAGUUUUGACAGUGUUUGGGUCAUCAUGGAUCGAUUGACCAAGUCAACUCAUUUUAUUUUGAUUCAAGUCUCAUUCAGUGCUGAGAGGUUAGCCCCUAUCUAUAUUCGUGAGAUUAUGCAUAUGUAUGGUAUGCCAGUGUCCAUUAUUUCAGAUCGAGGUUUUGUGUUCACAUCUCACUUUUAGAAGACUUUUUAGGAUGAGUUAGGUACUCAGGUUGAUCUUAGCAUAGCAUUUCACCCCCAGACUGAUGGCCAGUCAGAGCGAACUAUCCAGGUUUUGGAGGAUAUGCUUCGCGCAUGCGCGAUGGAUUUUGGUGGCCAGUGGGAGCAACAUUUGGCUUUAGCAGAGUUUGCAUAUAAUAAUAGCUACCAUUCCAGUAUUGAUAUGGCUCAUUUUGAGGCGUUGUAUGGUUGCUGCUCCCCAGUAGGUUGGUUUGAUUAUUCAGAAGUGAGACCUCGAGGUAUGGACUUGCUUCGUGAGUCUUUGGAUAGGGUCCGAGUCAUUCAGGAUAGACUUAGAGCAGCUCAGAGUAGGCAGAAGCGUUAUACUGAUCGUAGACUUCGUGCCCUGAUAUUUAGUGUUAGUGAUCGUAUUUUUCUUCGAGUUUAACCCAUGAAAGGUGUGAUGAGGUUUGGGAAGAGGGAAAAGUUAGCCCUGGGUAUAUUGGUCUAUUUGAGAUUUUUUGGACUAUUGGUGAUGUGGCUUAUGAGUUGGCUUUGCCCCCUGAUCUAUCAAUUGUUCAUUCAAUUUUUCAUGUUUCUCUGUUUCGUUGCUAUAUUCCUGAUGAGUCUCAUGUCAUUCAUUGGGAGUCGGUUCAAUUAGAUGAGCGGUUGUCCUUUGUUGAGGAACCAAUUUUCUUUUUGACUAGGGAUAUUAGGCGGUUGCGCUCUAGAGUGAUCCCUGUGGUUAAGGUCCAGUAGUGACAUCGACUGUAGAUGAAGCUACUUGGGAGGCCGAGUCUGAUAUGCGUAAUCCUUAUCCCCAGCUCUUUGUUGAUUUAGGUAUUUCUUUUACCUUAGUUCGAGGACGAACUAUAUUUUUAGUGGGGGAUGAUGUAACGACCUAAAAAUUUAAUGAAAUAUGUAAAAUUUGUGAAUUUAUAUGAUUUAACUAUUUUAUCCCUCUCCGUAGUUGCAUUAUGAUAUUUUGGGGAUGUGGGAGUGAUUGACAUGAUUUUCGAUGCAUUUUGGUUCAUUUAUGUGAUAUUGUGGUUUUUGAUGGCUUCGAAAACCUUAUUUUGGAUUUAUGUGGAUAUCUUUUGAUCCAUACGAUGGAUGGCCGAACGGACUAUGCCAGAAGCUCCAGAAUAUCGAUUUUAGGCUAGGUAGACCUUUGGUUCGAGUCCCGGUUCACCGGAGCUCAUUUCGACUUAUUGGUCAGAAAGUUGAAAAAUUGGAAAUUUGGAUGUGGCACCCACAUUUGGUUGAAACGACCUCGGAUGGAAAAUUUAACUUUUCCAGUAGAUCCAAAAUAUCAAAUUUAGGGUGUUAGCAUGUUUGGUAUGAUUUUACGGCUUUUAAAUCUCAUUUCGACCCUUGAUUUGAAAAAUUGUAAUUUCGAAUUUUCGGGGUCAACUUUGUGAAAACGAUAUUUUUUUGAAAAUUUUAUAUCUCCAUCGCAUUCGGAACAUCAAAUUUAGUAUGGUUGCAUAGUUCGUUUGCAUGUAUCGGACUCCGAGCGAAUCCCAAGCACCCCGUCGAAAUCCGAUCAACCAACAAAAAAACUACUAUUGCAGAAAAUCUGCAAUAAAUAGCAGAUUAUAGCAGAUUUUCACCCUUUUGGGGCCUAUUUUGCUCAUUUUUCAUCUUGUCUCUUGAGAGUUAAACCCAAAAAUAGUUUGAGAGCUUAAAAGUGAAGCUUGUGGGAGCUUGAGAAGCGAGAUUAACAUCUAUUUCUUGGUUUUAUUACAGAUUUAAGGUAAGAAUUCACCCUUUUCUUAGUGAUUUCUUAAUUAAUUUCUCAAAACCUCAAAAAUUUUAGGGCAUGAUUUUAAACCCUAUUUUCACUUGAAUAAUAUUUUUAUCUUAUAAUUACUAGUUUUUCAUCAAUUUAACCUUCAAAACAACUUCAAUCCUUGAUUUUAACCCGAAUUUCAAAAAAUUUACCUGAUAAAGCUCAAAAAUGAUUUUUCUUCGAUUUAAACCUCUUUUUUGACUCAAAUUAACUUAAGUUUUUAACUGUAGGUUUCUAAAAAUAUGGGAAACAUGUUUUUGAAGUAAAGUUUUUCCCUUAUUUUUUGGAAAUCCAUUUUGGGAAUCCGUUUUAAUCCCGAACCAAAAGUAGUCAAUAUGGGUGUUGUUGGUUUUGUUUUGACACAUAGAUUUCAUAUUUGAUGUUUUUAGUAAAGUUCGGUAUUAUUCUUGAAAAUAAGGUCACGGGUUCAAGUGUAGCGGACCGAUUUCGACUUUCGAGGUAGGUUAUGGCUUAACUCUUUCAGACUGGGCUGAGUAGUAAAUAAUGGUACAAAAUGCAUGUUAAGGGUGGGAACUAAUCAUGAAAAAUGGCUAUCUAUGUGUUGUAUCCGUGUAGGGUCCUAUAUGUGAUAUAAAUGUGAUAUAAUUGUCGAAAUUGAGUUAUUAUGUGAUAUGUGUGACCGUGUGAGGUCCUAUAUGAUAUUAAUAGCCUUGAAUACAUGUGAAUAAUUGUAUUAUGUUAUUAAUAUGCUUAAUAUGGUACCAUUGGUGUAUUGCGAUUAUAUUCAUACUUUAUUUGGCAUAUGAGACAUGUGGAAAUUCGUUGAUGAAAAUGAAAUAAUGAGUGGAUAUUGGCUCACAUGAUUGUGGAAAUAUAUCAUUGUGGUUGGUUGUGAAAAUACUCAUUGUGAUUGGUUGUGACCAUUACUUCCUCAUAUCAUACUCAUUCAUGAAAUAUUGGUACCACCGUGACAACAUCUGAGAAACACUGGCAACACCUUUUUAAAAUCCUCCCUGAGGGAUGUGCCGGGAGGAGAUAUUACAACACCUUAUAAAACCCUUUUUGAGGGAUGUGCCAAAAAAGAGAUAUGAGAUAUGUGGAUCGUAUACGGGUUCACGAAUCCCACAUAGGUUCUACAUUGGGAAGCUUUAGCUCCGUAGGUAUAAUUUUGACACCCUUAUUGCCUACGUGGCACACACAUGUGCCUACGUGGACAAUUCAAUGUGUUGUGCCACCAUGUACCACGUAGGCACUAAGGGUGUCAAAAUUAUAGUUUUAAAUAGUUUAGGGGGGUAAUAGGACCCCCUUUAAGUUGAGGUGUGUCAUAGCCUUUUUUAGUAUAGUUCAGGGGGGUAAUUGGGUAUUAUCUCAAUAAAAAAUGUCAAUUCUUUCGUAGAACUGAUUAAAAGAAUAUACUAUUUGAAUUGAGAAUUAAAAUAGACAUUCUGAUAUAAUGCAUUAACUUUUUUUACUACAUAUUAAAAUAGAUUUAUAGUUAAAAGUGUGUGGAAUUCGUGUGAAAGAUUACAUCAUUAAUGACAAUGAAAAGAUUCUAAUGAAAUAACCAUUUUAUCUAUUUUUUUCAUUUAAAAUAGAGUUGUAGUGAGACCAACAUAAAAAAUUAUACGAAAAUAUUUAAAAAUUUAUGAAAAAACCAUUAUACUCUUGUUUAUAUUAGUAAUUUUUACCUUAAACUAACUAUCAAUAAUUUUAAGCAAAAACAAUAAAAUGCAAUAAUGAAUGUUACAUUCAAAAAUAACUUGUUUAUUCCGUGUAUUUAGUUAAGAGGAGAGAAAACUCGUUUGGAUAACAUGAUUCAAAAAAUAUUUAAAUGGAACAAACUUCAGGUAUAACUUCUCUUUAAAUUUAAUAUUAUUCUUCCCAUUUGAUUCAAGUAUAUUAUUAAAAUUUACAUUUAAUAAAAAUAUUAUCACAUAAAUUCUCAUAUAUCAUAAUAAAGUAUGAACAAAAUUCACUACUUAAAUUACUUUUUAAGGUUUAACAAAUUACAUUUUAAAAUUAUUUUAGAUAUCGUUAAAAAGUUCAACUUGAAAUUAUUUUUGAAUGAUGUAAACUAUGGAUAUAGGAAUGCCUUGUAAAUAUUUGUUACUCUCUCAAUUUAAAAAAUAAAGACCUAAUUUUCAUUUUACUUUGUUUAAGAAAUAAUAAAACUUUUUUUUUGUUUUACAAUACUUUGUUUCAACUUUUUACGUGUUAUGUUUAGAAUCACAAGAUAAAAGGUAUUUUGAUACAAUUGACAUAACUUUAAUUUAUGAUCACAAGAUAAAAAAGUUUUCUUUAUUUUUUUUAUUCCGUGUCAAGUUAAAAUAGAUCAUUCUUUUUAAAAUAAAGGGAGUAAUAUAUUUUUUUAUUUCUUUAUUACUCUAUUAAAUAAUUUACUAUAACUAAAUGUGCAAAGAAAUUUUUUUAUUCUACAUGCCUAUGGAGAUUUCAUUUGAAUAAAAUAAAGUGAAAAUACCCAAUUAAUCCCCUGAACUAUACCCAAAAAGCCUAUGAGAAACCUCAACUUAAAGGGGGUCCUAUUACCCCCUGAACUAAUUAAAAGUGUAAUUUUGACACCCUUAGUGCCUACGUGACACAUACGUGGCACACACGUGUGCCUACGUGGACACUUCAGUGUGUUAUGCCACACACUAAGGGUGUCAAAAUUACACUUUUAAUUAGUUCAGGAGGGUAAUAGGACCCCCUUUAAGUUGAGGUGUGUCAUAUAGUUCAGGGGGUAAUUGGGCAUUAUCUCUAAAAUAAAAGUGAAACUUUACCACUUAGAAUAGAAAUGAAUAUUGUGUAUUAGAACUAACAAAAAAUGUUUAUUAAAAAUUGCGAAAGAAACUGUGGCAUCCACAUGAGAUAUUAUACAACUUUGGGAUAAGAUUGACAUUUACAAAAAAAAGAUUUUAUUUUUUUUGUCAUUAAAAAUUGGUUCGAAUCGGUUCAAAAAAGCAAGUUGAUCUCAUUUGUGCCAAGCUUGAUCUCAAAUCAUAUGAAUACUUUAUAUGUUUUUUUUUAGAAUUAAAUUUCAUAUUCUUUUAUGAAAGUUUUAUAAGUAUAUGAUACCAUAGUUAUAUUUUUUUUUAGACAUUUUUAUUCUAAUAAAAUAAAAAUAAAAAUUUCACAUUCUAAAAAAAAAUUUGAAAUUUAGAUAAUAUCUCAUUAAAAUAGAUUAAUUAUUAAUAUACAAAACAUAUUUUUGAGUAAAUUCCUCAUAUUGUCACUCAACUUAGAGAAAUAUCUUAAUAAAGUCAUUUAUCUUUUUUUUUUUGUUUCAAUAAUGUCACCCAACUUUAUGCAUUUUUCUUAAAAAUCAAUAAUUACUAAAAGUGACUCAGAAGAUGAGAGAAAAAUAAUCAAAAAAGUCCCUUAAGUUUGAACUUUGAAUUUAAAUGAACCUUAUUAGUUAACAAUAUGAAAUAUCAAUAACCUUUCAACUAUAAAACUUAGUGAGUACAAUUUUCUUUCAACUUCUAACUGCGAUAUUAAAUUUAACGACUUCCACCAAAAAUUACAAUUAAAAUUGUUAGAAAUAAGUUUAUGUGUACUAUAUUUAUUUGGAAGCAUAGGAGUUCAAUAAUAAAAUAAUAUUCUAUAUUUAUUCAUUUUAGGAUUAAUCUUUAUUUUUGAUAAAAUAGUUCAAGUUAGUUGUUAGUUUCUUCUACUGCAAAUUAUUAUCGAAAAAAAAAAUAUAAUUCAUAAAGAAGAUGAUGAAUUCCUGCAAAUUAAAAAAAAAACAAAACUAGGGUCUCUAGCUAGAAGAAGAACCAUAUGUAAAUAUUUUAAAGGAUUUUUAUUUUAAAAAAUAAUGCAUAUUAAUGGAUACCAUGAUAAUAACAUCAAGCAUUCACUAUCAAAUAAAAUUAGGUGAUUUUAUAUAACCAUUUCGUAACUUUAAAAUAUUUUAAUGUUUCAAUAUUGUUUAUCGGUCUUGUGAUAUUAUUUCAGAGAAAAUUAUAUCGCCUUGUCAACUUGACUGUUAAAACUGAACACAUUUACUAAUUUGGACAAUAAAUGUACUUCUUAUUUAUUUUAUUUAAAAUAUAACUACCUAUUUAAGCUCUAAUUUAACAUCCUUUGUCUUUUGUAAUUCGUUUUUAAUAUUAUGAUGUCUUUUUAAAUUAUAUUAUGCACUUAUUGAUAAAAUAUAUUUAAAACUAAUUUAAGAAGUACAAAAGUAAAAAUAAUUGGAGGCCUAUUAAUAUUUCAUGUAAAAAAAUAAGGACUAUUUAAAUUCAAAUUUCAAACUUAAUGGACUAUUUUGAUAAUUUUUUGAGUCACUUUUAGCAAUUAUUGGUUUGUAAAGAAAAUGCACAAACUUGAAUGAUAUUAUUUGAACGAAAAAAGGAUAAAUGACUUUAGUGGGACAUUUUCCUAAGUUGAGUGACAAUAUAAGGAAUUGACUCCAUAUUUUUUGAAAAAUUAUGAUUGAAAAAAAUGUGAAAUCCAACUUAAGUAUCACAUCAUUAGGGAACACUUGACAUUUUGGGAAAGACACGUCCACAAAUUACCAUCAUCAGUGAACUGGUGUAAAUCUACUAAACAAACUCUCUACAUAAUCUCAAUUCAACUUUUCUAUAACUACAUUGGCUAAUCUAGAAGCUUGGAAGGGCGUUAAAAAACAAUGCGAUGCAGUAUAUAAUGUCUUUUCAACAAAAACUGCCUGCAUGUUUCCACGAGGUAAGACUAUCUCUAGUGUUUCUUCUGGGGAAGAAACAAAACUUAGUUAAGAGCCUAUAUCUGGUUGGUGACAGGGGAAGAAAGAGAUACUAUACUUCUAGUACUUUAUUGUUUCACUAUCUUUUGUGCAAUAUCUAAGUUUUAUCAACCCGUCUCUCUUGUUGCGAUAAAACUAUUAAAAUUAGUGAGAAAAUGAAUACGACACUAAUCACCUAAUUUCGUUGCUAAUUCACUAAUACCAUCGUAGAUUUUCAGGAAAAAAAUAUUAUAUAGAUCAUCUUUAAUAUUAAUUUAAAAUUUAUAAGAGGAAAACUCAUGAGAACUGAAUGACAUCAGAAAAAAGACGAACACAUAUUUUUUUAUGGACUUAAAGGAGAUAUCACGAUUUAAGAGUGUGUUAGAUAUGAAAAAAAUGCUUUUCGCGAGAACUAUAGAUCAAUUAGUAGCUAUUUAUUUUAUCAUUUUUGUCCACUUUCAAAAAUCAGUUUGUAUAUUUUAUGGAGCCAAUGAAACAAAUCAAGACUUCUUAAAACGAAAAUUUUCUUCUCCUUUGAUAUAUGAAAGAUUGUCAAAACAAUUACAUUAUUAAAGUAACUCUUUAUAAUGUAUUUAAGUACAUCCAAACAGUUUUAAAAAGCACUUUUCAAAAGUUUUAUGUGAAAUGAUUUAUUUAGUUUAAACAGGAAAAAAAGAAUUUGUGCUUGAAAAUAAAAAGAGGAUGACAUUUUUAUUAGAAUUAGUGGUGACUUUUAGAUCUUUUUUUAAAAGGUAGAACAUGAAUGGAAUAAAAAAGGAAAAUACUAAAAAGGAAGAAAAAGAAAAUAGAAAUGAUGGUCAUGAAGAGGUGUCACACCACACUCUAUUGCAUUUUGAAUUAUAACUCAUCUAUCUCAAGCAUCUUUCUUUGAUCGCAUAUUGAAUCUGCAUUGAUAAUAUGUUAUUAUUUGAAAUAAUUAAAUUUGUAUAAUAAUUAUAGGUACUAAAUAAGGUAAUGAACUUUGAAUAGUUGCAAAAGAUGAGUAAUGUGUGUUAAGAAAUUUUAAUGGCAUCAAUAUUAUUAAGUGUAUUAAUUUUAAAUAAUUGAUAGUAGUUAAAGUUCUAGCUAGCUAGAGUAAGAAAAAAGAAUUUUGCAUCAAAAAGAAUUUUAAAAAGAGACAACAUGUAUCAAAUUAAGAACGUGACUUUUGGAGUUGUUGUAACGUAUAAUUUUAAUAUUCAAGAGGUAAAGAUGAAUGAAAUAAGUUGAUUUUAACUAAAUAAUUAUGGUAACUUUUAUCUUCCUUCUAAGAAAAAGUGAAACUUAAAUAUAGUAAGAAAAUCAGGACAAAAACCCUAACAAAAUGAUCAUACCAUCACAAAUAUAUGAAAAGACACACAAAAAAAUUGUUAAGAUUAGCAAAUGAUUGUAAAUCUAAAAUAUCAAGUACAACUCAAAUAAUUUUAAAUCAAUUUAAGCUCAAGAAACUGAAAAAGAAAGAUGUCUAAUGCCAAAAAAACACACAUACUAAAAACUUACAACCUCAAUUUUCUUCUUUUGCGUUCAAUCAUGGCUACAAAAUUCAUUGUUGUCCUCCGAAUAAAUCACUGUACUUGUUAAUACAUGAAAAGAAAAAAAUAAUCAUACCAUCACAAAUAUAUGAAAAGACACAAAAUAAAUUGUUAAGAUUAACAAAUGAUUAUAAAUCUAAAAUAUCAAGUACAACUAUCAAAUUAUUUAAAUCAAUAUAAGCUCAAAAACAGAAAAAGAAAGAUGUCUGAUGCCCAAAAACACUUAUACUUACAACCUCAACUUCUUUUGCGUCCAACCAUGGCUACAAAAUUCAAUAUUGUCCUCCAAAUAAAUCACUGUACAUAUAUAGAGGUUGUUCAAGUCAUAAAAAUUAGAUAAAAAAAGUUGAAAAGGCAUAUUACUUAAAGAGAAUAUUUAAUAGAGAAUGCAAAUGGAUGAAGGUUUUUUGUAACUCAUGAAAUGUAAUUAGAUAUAAUGAAUACAAUAGAUUUUUUUAUUUACUAAACAAAUUGAUAAAAGAAAAGAAUGAAGGAAAAAAUGUCAAGAAAAAAAAACAGAAAAAGAUAAAUGCCAAUGGAGAUCAUAGAGGGGUGCCACAUCACCUCCUCUAUGUUUCUCCUUUAUAUAUAUACUAGGAAAUGUAUCCGCGCUCUGCGCGGUCAUCAAAGACAUCUAUAAUAUAUAUAGCUUAUUUUCUUUCUCUAGAUAUAUGUAAAUUAAAAAUCUAAAACAUUGUUAGUAAUAUGGUGAUAAUUUUCGUACUUCAAGUGAUAUUAUAUUUUUGAAGUUGCCGAUUAAAGUGUAUGGAGGAUUUGAAUUUUAUAAAUAGUUUAUGUUUACAAUGUUGAUAUGUAUUUCUUAAUCAAUUAUUUCUUUGUUUUCUCAAACUGAUGAAGUUUAAAGAAAAUCUGUGUCUUUUUUUAUGUAUUUUUUUUGGUAAAGUAGAGAUGAAUUAGAUAAAGCAAAAGGGGCUGGCUCAAUCUGGCUCUAAUAAUAUUUUAAUAUUUUUUACAUACAAAAUGCAAAAUAAAAAAAAUAUACCUACUAAUUUAAAUAGUAAAAUACGAAGGAGGAUUCAAUUGAUGAUCUUCUUUAGAGAUGAAAAAGAGACUUUUUAUUCUUGUAAUUGAUGCCAAUUAUAUUCAAAAACACAAUCACAUAAGUAUGUCAUUUUUCAAACUUUAAACAAUCGUUCUCACAUGCUUUAUAUUUGUUAAUUUUCAAGUUUUGCAUAUUUCAUGAUUGGUGGUCUAAAAAUUUUAAAAAAUAACAAACAAACAAAUGAAGAUGUAUUUCAAAGUUCAAAAAUUAUUUCUUUUAAUAAUCAGUUAAAGUUUGACAUUUGAUGAUGUAACAAUAUAUCGUAAAACGAAAAUUAAGCAUUCACUGAAUCUCUCGAUAUUUUGAAAGAGAUUUUUUUUAAUGAUUGUCAAAGAAAGACAUUUACUUACUCAACUCUUUUUUUUUAUUGUUGUCAAAAUUCAUGAGUAUACAUUCAAUUCAAACUUCAAAUUGAGACUUACAUCAUUAUCUGUAAUUGAGCAUAUUUCAAUAAGAAAUGUUAAAUGUACACAAAAUUUAAGAAGCUUUUAGCUAAAUGUAUUUUGAAACUUUCAAUUUAAAAGGAUGUGAUAUAAUAAUUAAAGUUGUCUUAUAAAAGUAGAUUAUCUCAUUAAAGUAGGCAUGCGAGUUUUAUACCAAAAAAAAAAAAAUAAAGAACAAAAUAAUGUAAUAUAUAUUAUUUUUGCCAUCUUAAUAAUCAUAAACGUAAAAGUAAAAAUUAUGAAAUCAAUGCAUAAUUUUUCAAUCUCUUGCCUAUUCAUUUUCAUAAGACAUCAUCAUUUUGGAUUCAUUUUCUUCAAGUCAAAUUAAAGCAUGAAUAUGAUACUACAUGAAUUAUUAUAAUAUUACUACUUCAAAUAUGAACUGAGAAGAAAACUUUGCAUAGAGUCUCAUGAAGAAAAAUUAUGAACUUAUAUCGAUAAAAAUGAAGGAAUACUAUACGGUAGUUUAAUUAAAUAUUUGGGGGUUAUGAAUAUGAAAAGUAUGGGAGUUAUUGAAUAUUAUUAAGAAUAGGAAUUAAAUAGAUAAAUCAUGAAGGUAAAAAAUUCAGUGCAUGUCAAAGGUGGAAAAAAACAAAUACUAAGAAGAGAGAGCAAAUUGAAAAAAAAUAAUACUUCAAAAAUUGUACUUCCUUUUUAAGAAACGAACAACAAUGAUGUGAAGAAAAAAUAAAAAAAUAAUAAAGGAAAAUUGAUAUGAGGAAAUAUAUAGAAUCGAUAAGGCCUUUACUUUCAUCUCUCGUUAUUUAGUUUCUUAGUUGUAACUUAAAUAUAAUUUAAAUCAAUUAAACAUCUUAAUUAUCAAAUACGUGAGGUUAUACAAAUGAAUUUUUAAUAAUAUCAAAAAAGGAGAAAAAAAUAAAGAUAAAUGUCUUGUUAUAUCACAUCUUCUACAUUCUCCUUUAUUAUCACAUAUUGAUUCUACAAUUCAUUCAUUCAAAACGAUCAUUUUGCAGUAACAUUCAUGCUACUCACUACUUUUCAUUAUUUCAUAUAUUUUUAAUAUCUAUUUCACUUUUAAUUGGCUUUAUAUAGAUUUUUAAAUAUUGUAAAUUAGGAAAAUGGUUUUUAGAAAAAAAAAAAUAGAAAAAAUCGAAAAAGGGAGAAAAGGAAUAAAUAAGAAUGAAGAUCAUGAAGAAGUGUUAUAUUACGUGUAAACGUAAUUAGAGGUGCCAAAAGUAUAACUUUGAUUGCAAAACUGCAGAAAAAAAAAGUUUAUGAAAACUAAUGUCAUUACAAAUGAAAGAAAAGAAUACAUAUUAAAAAUAAAAUCAAAAUAAGAACAAAACAAAUAAAAUAGACUGUCUAAAACCACAAAGAAACUUAUACUUAUAUAUAAAUAAAUAAAUAAAUAAAUGCACGUCGAAAGAAGCCCCGAAAAAAGGAACAGAAGUAUUAAGUAAGUAAAACUUACCAGCCAUUCCAUUUGCUUUUCAAAUCUCUUCACCAUGUCAUAAUAUAUAGAGAGAGUUUGCCAAAUCAUCAUUAAUUUUCUUAAUUUAGUAAAGAAAAUGAAAAGGCAUUGAAAAUGAGGGGGUUUUGAAACAAAUAAAAUUUAAUUAUGUCAUCAUUCAUUUUUUAAAUGUCUAAUCUCUUUAAUUGUGUAAUUAAUUUAGUUUGAACAGUUUCAAUGGAGAACAAUAAUAUUGAACGAAAAUAAUAAAUCUCUCUUGAAUAGCUAAAUAAUAAAUAAAAAAAAAAAAUUUAUUUUUAGUAUAAAGGUCAAACAAAAUGAAAAAGAGAGAAAAAAGGACACUCCCUUAAUUUUUUUUUUUUUUGUUUUUUUUUUGACUCGAUAAAUAACUUAACAUAGUAUUACUUUUGUUAGAUUUAUAUAUUACUAGUGCCCCUUUCUCAAACGUCCCCCUUCCCCUCUUUUAAUUUUUGAUUUUUCUUGUAGUUAAAAUAGGAAAUGAUUAGUAAUAAUUAAUAUUAUAUUUUUUAAUUUUUUGAGUAUAGUGUAAUUUUAAAAAGAAUUUUUCUUUUUAUUUUAUUGCCAUUCAUAAUACGAUAUUUUUAUUGUGUACAAUCCUUUUGAAGUCACUUACCUUUUGAAAGUAAAACAUAUUUUUACUAAAUUAUUCUUAAUUGAUAUUCUCUCCAUCUCAAGAUAGUUAACACGCACUCCCUUAAUUUCAAAAUAAUUGACAUGUAUAUAAUUUGCACAGAUCUUAAGAAAAAAUUAAUAAAAGGCGUAAAAUGACUAAUAUAAUCCUAUUAUCUUUUUAAUAUUGAUUAUAUGAAUCUUGUUCAAUUAAUGAGGAAAUUAAUUACUAAGGGUAUGAUUGAAAAAAGAAAUUUUUUGAACAUUUAAACAUGCCAAUUAUUUUGAAAUAAUUUGUUUUGGCAAACAUACCAAAAAAUUUAAAUUUAGCUAUUAAUACUUUAAGUAAUUACCUAAUAAUAAUAAUAAUAAUAUAUANNNNNNNNNNNNNNNNNNNNNNNNNNNNNNNNNNNNNNNNNNNNNNNNNNNNNNNNNNNNNNNNNNNNNNNNNNNNNNNNNNNNNNNNNNNNNNNNNNNNNNNNNNNNNNNNNNNNNNNNNNNNNNNNNNNNNNNNNNNNNNNNNNNNNNNNNNNNNNNNNNNNNNNNNNNNNNNNNNNNNNNNNNNNNNNNNNNNNNNNNNNNNNNNNNNNNNNNNNNNNNNNNNNNNNNNNNNNNNNNNNNNNNNNNNNNNNNNNNNNNNNNNNNNNNNNNNNNNNNNNNNNNNNNNNNNNNNNNNNNNNNNNNNNNNNNNNNNNNNNNNNNNNNNNNNNNNNNNNNNNNNNNNNNNNNNNNNNNNNNNNNNNNNNNNNNNNNNNNNNNNNNNNNNNNNNNNNNNNNNNNNNNNNNNNNNNNNNGGGGGAAUCAUAGUUGUCUAGAUGUUUCUAUAGAGUUAUAGGUGCACAAAAUAUCUAAAAUGUCAAUAUGUAAGCUGUGAAAUUACUAUAAUGCCCUUGAUCGUCAUGGAGCUCACCUUUCUAUAUAAAACUAGAUAAGUAUGCCCUUACUUUUCACGAGCCCGACAUGAAAAGUGCAUAUGUUUGCUUUGAACGAUGAAAUUGAAGAAUAAAAAUUCAAGCAAUUAUUUUUCAUGCGUUAGAUAAACUGUUGAAUGAUAUUAGAGACAAUAAUUUGAAUAAAUUGUUUAUCUAUUUCGUGAACAUAACUAAUAGGAUGUCAUCCUAAACAAAAAUGACAGAAAGUUGUACACUGACAAAAUUCAUGUUUAGAAAACUGAAGUAGAAAGAUAAAAGAAAAUUGAUUUUUAUACCACUAUGAUAUACUAUAUUAUGGCUAUACUUUAUUCAGUUUCUCUAUAUUUACGUUUUCUUUUUUGCUUUUAGGUUGUCUAUCUGAGUACAACAGAAAAAAAUUUAUAAUUACUUACAAAACUAAACAUUAAUGAAUACCCAUCAAGACCCUCGAUUUAGAGGAUUUUCAGUUAUAUCAAAAGCAUGAUUAUACUUUGACCUGCUCAAAAUGCUCAAUCCUUUUAUAAAGAAAUUCAAAAUGAAUAUUGACAUUCAAUUAAAUUUUGAAUAAGCAAGCAAGCGACCUCGUUUCUUAUACUGGUUUGGGUCAAUGAUGAUUAAUAAGUAAGUGAAAUAUAUGUAAAUAAAGUGGACUUUUAUUAAACAUAUAAAGUAAUAUGUGGUGAUCCUGAAGUGAUCUCCAUACAAAAUCUCAUAGUUCGAAGGAAAUUCAAAUGUUAGAAAUUGACAAAAUUUGAUUUAACUGAAGACACAGAAUGCUAACUUGUAUAGACAUUUACCAAUCUUGCCAUAUUUUUUCCAUAGCUUUCAUUUUUGGCUCAUAUUGAUAUCAUUUUUUCUCAGUGCUCAAUAUGUAGCCUUAAAAAUGCCAUUUUCUCUUCUUUUUUUCCUCUCUAAAGUUGUCUCUAUUUUCAGAAGGAUAUACCUCUAAAAUCAAUUAGAACUGAACAUGGUACCUAAAGGGAGUUUAAGUAACUAAAGUUGUUAAUGUAUGCUAUUGUUGAUGUUUAACCACAUUUAAAAUCUGUUAUAAAAGAAAUAAAAGAUACUUUAGUGACUUAGUCUCUUGUUCCUUCUUGUCAAGGUCAUUCUUUAACAUUCCAAACACAAGUUAAUUUUUCAUCAACUGAGAGAUAGAACUACUUUCAAGUUAAGCAACCUCGAAUAACUACAAAAUUGAGAAGCUGAGGACUACCUUAAAAAUUUUAUAUUUAAAUCUUUGGAUUAAGCACUUUGUAAUCUUAUCAGGUUGCAAAAAAAAAUUCUCUAUCUUCACACAACUAUUUCACUUGCUAAAUAAUAGUAUUUUAUUUAAAAAAGAAUGAUCUGCUUUGACUUGACAUGAAUUUUAAGAAAAUAAUGAAGACUUUUGAAUUUUGUGGUCUUAAAUUAAAUUUACGUCAAAUUUACUUUAAUUGUGUCGUCUCAAAGAUGCCACAUGAAAAAUUAAAAUUAAAGUGUUCUCAAAAAAUAAAAUGAGUCAUUAUUUUUUAAACGAAUUAAAAAGAAAAGUGCAUCAUUAUUUUUUAAGUGGGGGUGUAUAAUUUUGGGAUAUGAAACCUCUUAUGCUAGAUGGAGUACAAUAAUUAUUUGGUUGCUUUAGACAUAACCACAAUGAACUUUUAUUGAAUCAGUAAAAUAAAAUGUGAUAAAUCAUGGAGUGAUUUACAUAAAAAAAUCCUACAGUUCGAAAGAAAUUCAUGUGUCAAAAGCUGAACAACAUUUAUGCUUUUGAUAAUAUUUGCUUUUAAAUGAAGACAUGGAAUGCUCACUUGUAUAGACAUGUACAAAUCAUGCCAUAUCUUUUCCAUCGUUUUCAUCCAAAAGAACUAUUUGAUUGCUUUAGACAUAACCAAACAUCUUGGCUCCAUUAAGGUUCUUCCUUUUUCAUUGAAAAUUUAUUUUAUUUGUUGGCAAUUUAAUGUAACAAUGUUGUUAUAAUUCAUGAGCUAAAGCAAAUCUAAGAUUAUAUUCAACAGGAACAAAUGACUUAUCGAUCAUUGAAAAAAAUAAAAUUUUAACCAUAAAAUUUUAUAAAUAAUUUAAAAUAACAAUAUUAUAAAAAAAGUAUGUUUGUAUAAAUCCACUUUACUAAAUGUAAUUUCAGCUGCUUCAACGUUAAGAUAUUAAAAUAAAAUCACAGAAGUUUCAACAAAAAACAAAUAGUAAUUGGUUAUAGUAUAAAGAGGAAAAAAAACAAAAAAAACUAUAGUUUACUUCUUUCUGAAGGAGUAGCAGUUGCGGCAGCAUCCAUCGAUGUUGAAAUUGCAGCAACACAAAGCUUCUCUGAAAUCUCAUCUACUGUUGUAAUAAAUAAUAAGACACUUCUUUGUCCACGAAAUACAAAGUGAACACCUAAAGCAAAUAUUCAUAUAUGGAUGAUGAAGAGUUAUUAUUCUAUAAUAUCAACAUGUUUUGAACUUAAAAAUAAACUGCAAAAUCUUAUAUUCGUGCCGAAAUAGUUAUUUUACAUAAAAGGGUACUUCUACCUAAAAUAAUUCUUUUGUUGACUGAAAUACUUUAAAAAAACAUUAAGAAAGAGAAUUAGAAGUCAAAGAAAAAUCUAUUUUUAUUGAAGAAAAACUUGAGAUUCAUAUUUAAAUCAAAUAAAGAUCCACUUAAUAUCAAUGUUUAAGUCUCUUUUGAUUUGAAGUCUAGCCUUUGUCUUUUCAAGAGUUGAUUUAAGGAUAUAUUUUCAUAUAUUGACCCGUAUGAUCCCAAGAUUCUCUUAUGCAUUAGGGCAUAGUAAAAAAAUAGUCUAUGUUGAUUAAACAUAACUAAUCUACUACCCUGACUUUGUAAGUAGCAGGGCAGUCAAGACUCCAUACAUUACAACCUUUUAGUUGAGGAGCAGAGAGUCACUAACAAACAAUCCAUCUAAAAUGUCUAGGAUAUAUAGUGUAGACAAUUCAACUUAAUAUAACAUCAUAUUACCUUCAAGUAUAGUCCAAUCCAGAGCCCCGACUUCUUUAUCAACAAGAUAUUUUUCUUGAGAAGAGAUCAAAGAAAAAUCUUAGUAAUCUGAUUACCAAAGCAAUGUUUCCUAUUCAGAUAAAGAAGUCUUUUCAUAAUAGGAUUCGACAAAUGUGACUAAACUACAAUAGGAAUCUAUAUGUAAGUUCUUUCAAGACACCUUCACAGAGUAAGCCCCGACUAAUUUAGUAGAAAUAUUCCUAUAAAGGAUACUAAUUAGAAUGUGAUACAUCUAAUUCAUAGCCUCCCACGGAUUCGUUUAUAAUUUAAGAUGCUUUCACAGAAACGAUAACAACUUAAGGCGAAUUGAAUCAAUUGGCCUUCUAAUUUCUGCCAUGCAAAUGAUGCCUUUUGGUGGCUCUCCUCACCGCAUUCAAAUCAUUCUCAGUAAUGAAGUUUUCAUUAGUCAACAAUAAAAUGUAUCUGUAAUAAGUUUAUCAUCUAAAUUUUGACCUUAUAAUUAUCAAGAGAUGAAAAUGAUAAGCAAAUUUUUUGUAGCUGAAGAUAAUUUAUUUAUUCUUUUAAAAAGAAACAAUCAGAUUGUGUAUAAUCAAAAUUAGAACGAUCAUAUUUUGAAAUUUGAAAAGAAUCCUCAAGCAAAUGGAAUUACAACCUUAAUUUAUUUUAACUAAAAGUUUGAUUUUUCAUUCAACAUCCUUGAUAUUCAGCCACUACAACAACAACAAUAAUAUACCAAUAUAGUCCGACAAAGUAAGGUCUGAGAGUAUAGAGUGCAGGCAGAACUUACAUCUACCUCGGAUGUGAGAUAGAGAGUUGUUUUCGACCGAUUCUGAUUCAAGGAAAAAACUGUUUGGGAUGAAAUUCAAUCACUAAAAUAGAAAAUCUAAAGAGAACUGAAAAGAAAUUCAGGAAUUUUUUUUAUACACUUAGAGGUCGUUUGGUUGGAAAAUAAGUUAUGAUGAAAUUAGUUAUGUUGGAUUAGUUAUACUGGGAUUAAUUGUUAUCGAAUUAGUUAUCCUGUUAUUAUUUUUCUGUGGUUGUUUGGUUUGUGAUACUAUUAUUAUUUUUUAGUGAUUGUUUGAUUUGUGAUAUUAAAAAUAAUAUGCAUUGCAUUCUUUCUAAGAAUAAAUAAUUUAUUUGCAAAAAUACUCUCACCUUAUUUAGCUUAAUUAUUUUUCUUCAUAUUAAAACAUAAAAUAGAAAUUGAAAGUUACUAAUUUUUUUUAUUAACUUUAAUAUUUUUUUUCUAAAAAUACAUGUUAAGAAAUUUAUGCUUUUCUUAAAUGUGUAUGAAGCUUUAAUAUUUCAUGUUAAAUUACUUAUUUUGUUCCAAAUUCUAUAAAAUGUGGAUAGUCCCAUUUUUUGUUAGAAAAAAUCACCAUCAAAAAAAUGUGAAAAAGUAUUACUCGUAUUUUUCAUUAUUUUGUAUCAUUAAUAUUUGGAGAGUUAAAUUCUAUUUUUAAAAAAUUAAAUUUUAAUAUUUUUAGCUAUAUAUAAAAAAAUAAUUUCUUAUUUAAUAAUUAAGCAUGCACUAAGUUAGACAGGGAAUAUCAAGAUACUUUAAUUACCUAUCCAUGAUAAAUUUGUUAGGAAAAAUAAACAUUUCUACAAAAUAGAAAGACAAUAAAUCCUUGGAUCAAUUUUGAAUUUGAUUGUAUAAAUAAUUUUUAUGGUAUCACUAUCUUUUUUUCAUGAAUCAUCACUUUUGUAGUAUUUAAUAAGUCCAAAUAAUUGUUCAAAUUUAUCAAAAUGGAGAAAGUUUGUAGAAUAAUUAAAAUUUAAAUUAGGGAUAAAAUUGAUGAAAAAAUUGAUGUGAGGACUACCAAAAUGUCAAAUUCUCUCUUGUGUAUAGUAAUGAUUGUGGCACAAAAAGAAAGUUGAAGAUUUCGUUAUUUUGAAAAAUAGUAGAUAUUUCUAGAAAUAUUUUGGCAAAGAGAGAAUAUUUUUGGAUUGAGUUUAAUGAAUGUUGAAAAGUCGAUUUUACCCUUGAUCGUCCUUGAACUCAUCUUUCUAUAUAAUAAAAAAAAUAUCUAAUUAAAAUAUAGUAAUAUAUAAUGAAAUAAUUGAUUCUUACAUAUACAAACAUUAUUUUAUAUAUUUUAUUUAGAUCAAUGUUAGAAAGGAGAUAUAGAAAUAACAGGACCUUCCAAUAACUCCAAUAACUUACCAUCCAACAACAUUAUCAGCCUUAUCAUGUUCAUCUGGAUGCAGCAGGCUAACUAAUUGUUUGCAAGACUCAAAAUGGAUCACCAGUUAUUUCCGAGUCCGGAGCUUAAAGGACAAGUUUUUUUAUUAAAAAUUUUAAAGUGACAUAUCAAAAUUGAAAAAUAUCAAAAUGGACAAGGGUAACACAGGUGAUUACCUUGUCCAUUAAAAGUUAACGCCCGUUUGGUUACAUGCUAAAAUGCAAGGUAAAAUUGUGAUUUUACAAUGGACCUGCUUACCUUAUUUUUUGACUGAAAAAGUUAGUUUUCUAUUAGACAUCUUGACACUAUUAAGAACGACAUCGAACUAUGUCGGAAAACUAAAAAGACGAUGAAGAUGUUGAAAAGGAAGAAGAAGUAUACAAAAUCCAAUUUUCACAAUAAAAGAGAACUUGGAACUCAAGAACAAAUCUAAAUUAGUUUAGGACCAUACUUAAACAUUACACCACGGAAUUGCUUUUUCGCAGUAAUAGGUCCACCAACAGAAACACAGUCAGCAUCACCGAAAGCGGCGAUCGAUUUUUCUAUUAGGCAUGUUGACACUAUUAAGAAUGACCACGAACUAUGCCAGAAAAUAAAAAAUACGAUCAUGACGAUGUUGAAAUAGAAGAAAAAGAAGAAGUUGACAGAUCCAUUGAUUAAGAAAAAUAGAAAACGUAGAUAAGAGUCGGCAAAAGAAUCAUCGGUUUGAUUUUGUGAGAAAGAUAGGUAAAUAUUAAGUCAGACAUAUUGACCAUCUUGCCCUCAAUAAUGUAUAUAUUUACACCUUUGCCCUUGAUCAUCCUAACAUUACCUCUUCUAUCUAGUGGUAUAUAUAUAUAUAUAUAUAUAUAAAAUAAAAAUCUAGUAAUAUAUAAUAAAAUAAUUGAUUCUUACAUAUACAAUCAUUAUUUUAUAUGUUUUGUUUAGAUCAAUGAAAUUCAUAUAAGUAUAUUUUAACUUAUUAGUUAUUGUGAUUUAUAAUACUUUCAAUGUAAUUUUUAAAUAUAAUAAUGAAUUAAAAAGAAAGUACAAAAUUAACCGAUAUAAGAAUAUUAUAAUUUGUUAAUUAUUGUGUUUAUAAUAAUUUUUUUAAUUAUCGUAAUUUAUAAUUUUUUUAUUUAAUUUUCAAAUGUAUAAUGAAAUUAAAAACAAGUAAAAUAAGUAAUUAAAACAGAAAAUAUUACUAAAUUUUUUGAAGUAGUAUGUAGAAAAAAUAAUAAUAAAUCAGGAAUGAUAUAGUAAAAUUAUGGUUGAAACAGUUGAAAUAGACAUGUCGACCAUCAGCUGCCAGCAACUUUAUUGUGACUCGGUAUGUAGGAGAACAAUUUUAUAUAUGACAUAAUUGUCAUGUAAUUAUUUAUUUAACAUUUAAACUUCUAUAAUUAAUUAAAACUAUUAGCUAUUAAAAUCUUUCCUUGUUUUUUUUAGAAACUCCAAAUAUUUAGGGAUAUAAAUCGAAUAGAAUUCUACUUAUAUAAAUUUCCUUAUUUCAGAAUUGUUUCAACAUGAAAAAAAAUUAUGCAAUAAUUAUUUAACAAAAAUAUAAAUCUUAAUACUGGAAAAUUAAAGCUUCUUUUGAUUAUUCAAAUAGUGAGGAAGUAUGCAAUAAUUAUUUAACAAAAAUAUGAAUCUUAGUACUGGAAAAUUAAAGCUUCUUUUGAUUAUUCAAAUAGUGAGGAAGGGAAGCCUUUAUAGUGAAGUUGUUGCCAUGUGACAAGAGGUUGCAAAAUUCAAGGUAAGCUUGCAUCCGUUAGAUCCUUGUGAUUCGACCUUUCUCCAAACCCGCACAUAAUGGACACUUUGGUACACCGGGCCGUUAAGGUCAAACCAUUCUAGCUGAUAUAUUAUAGGCCCAAAAUAUGAGCUUUUCGGCCUUUCCACUUUUCUGCACUCUCACAGAAGGUAACUCUUCAACAGAUAUGCUUUGUUAAUUUGGCUGCAGUGUAAAACCACCACCUUUUUCACUGAAGCUAUAAAUCUUUCUCCAAAGAUUGUGUCUGCGUUGAAGAGCGAUGGAGUGGCAAGCCUUACGUUAGAAUCCUAGUGAAAGGACAAAUUUAUUCUGGGAUAAGGUUCUCCCUCCCCUACUAGUAGUUCUCGAUCGAGAGCGCCUUUUCUUCGCUCUAUUCCCCAGGCUAAGCGGAUAGUAGAGUAAAAUGUUGAAAUUUCUUUAGCAACUACAACAACAUUUUAGUAUCCAUAACCAAUGGACACAACUUAUCACGCAUGGACGGAGGAGGCUUGGAGAAGUAAUAAUAUUUGGACGUAAGGUUGAAUAGAACAGAAUGUACCAUGUGAAAGCAACUUGCAAUAGUAAAAUAACCAAGCCGACAUAUAAAGCAUUUGGACUCAUCAAUUAUCAUCCACAUGUGGACGCAAAAUUUAAAAUCUUCAGCUUGUUGUCUACAGUUGUUAAUAACCUAAUUGGUCUAAUGGUCUAUAACCAAAACACCCACUGAGCAUACCAUUCAUGGGCCCUAAACAUGCUUGAAUGGUUGCCAUCAUCCUCCAGAACAUAAGAGUUCCUUGGAGGCGAAAGAUGAAGCAAACCUCAACUCAUGUGAAGCCUUAUUCACAUAGCGCAUUCUUAGCUUAGUAGACACCUCUCAUUAAAGAAGAAAGUUCAUCAAUGGACCAAAGGUCCACAGCAUUUUCGCCACCCUGAGAUGCAUCUGCGUUAAGGAAAGCAUCAACUGAUACAUCCCAAUUUGCUUCCGGAUAUGGGGUGUGAAAGAACUUCAUCUGGGAUUCAAAAGCUGGAAAUUCUUCAGGUGGCUUGUUAGCAGUGUUUCCAUCAUCGGGCACCAAAUUGUUGGAACAAGAUUUUAGUUUCACCUCCACAUCGGCACCUUCAACAAAUUGAGUUUCAUCACAUUCUAUAGCAGCUGACAGAACAGAUGAUAUUUCUGGAGUCCUGGAACACGUUUCUCCCCAACCAAAGUCGGAGGGGUCAAAUGAGUUACUUCCUUGGUCAGAAUUGAAGUAAACACCAGCAGCAGGUGGAGGGACAUAUGAGUUAGGUCCCACAUUUACAGUAGUAGUGCGCAAAACUUCAUAGCCAUACAGUUUUUUCGUUUUCUCUUCAAAAAAGCCCAGGUUGUUGCAACAUCCAUCAGUCAAAUUCAUUAACGCGGUGUCGGACAGAACUGGGUUGGAGCUCUCAUCAGAAAGAACCUUCUCAGGAUUUACCUUAGCAGCUUGCCUUGGGGCAGGAACUGGAGCUUCAUCAGGAAAGUUUACCUUAGCUUUAUUGCCUCUGAUCCUCCGAGCUUCAACAUCAUAAGCUCUGGCAGCUUCUUCUGCAGUACUGAAAGUUCCGAGCCAGACGCGGACUCCCUUCUGUGGAUCACGUAUUUCAGCUGCCCACUUACCCCAAGGACGCUGUCUGAUUCCCCGAUACUGAUUCUUCCUCUUUCUCUUGGAAGACUUCUCAAUUUCCUUGUUUGAAUCAACAGAAUUCAAUGAUUUGGAUCCUUCCACAUAUGAAAUAAAAUAAGUACCUCACUCAUCCACAAUAGCACCACAAUUUGCAAGAAGCAAUCCAUCACCACAAUGACAUAACAAUGAAUAAGAAAUUGAGAAACCCACAGAAACAACGUGCACAUAACAUGUUCCAUAAUUGCUUACAAUAUUAUCAAGCCAAGUUCUCCCAAAAUUUUCCCGGUAUCUUGAUCGAACUACACUAAUAAAGAACAUGUUCCUUAGUCUCAUUUACACGAAACUUAGAAAAGAACACAGCAAGCUAAGACCUUAGAUUUUUACUGUAGGCAUCAUGUAGCCAAACCCAACAGGCAGAGGAAUCAUAAUCCGGGGAACCUGCUCUGCGAGUACCUAUUUCAAAACCAAAUUGUGUUUGAACAGAGACUUCUAAUCCAAAUAAACAGAUCACGUGAAUCUUGAUAAUCUAACAAAAGAAUUUGAAGAAUUUGUUAGAUUAAGCAAACCAUCAAAUUGGGCUAAGAAGAAACUCAAAUACAACUGAAGCUAGCUAAAAUCUUAGAUCCAUACCCAGCGUCCCAGCCAUAUAGUUAUGUUUACAGUCACGACACACCAUGAAACUUUCAUACACCAAAUAAGAACUUACUAUAGAGCCCUAAAGAAAUUAAGGAGCAUCUUCUAUCUGAAUUUUUUUUCUAUAUUUCCAGUUAAUAAUGGAGAAAAUAGCAUCUUGGCUUCUUGUUCGACACUCCAGAUAAAGUCAUCUUCUUUGCUUAGAUGAGCAGCCAUCAACAUAAAUUGAAUACCAAUAAUUUCAAUAAAACUAAUAAUUUGGACCCAUUUCAAGCUAAAUUCAGCAUUUUUGGCAAAAACAGGAAAAGCAUUCCAAGCCCAAAGAAUAGUCAUAUGCUAAAUGCAAAUGGAAUACCAAUAUUUUCGACUUAAGUAGCAUUUCAUGCUAAAUUCAACUUUUCUGACAGAACCAAACAUCUCCAAGCCCAAAGAAUAGCCAAUAGUAGAACUAACUCAAGUGAAGAAUAAAUGAAUAUAAGAAAAAAUUUACCCAAUAACAACAUAGCAGAACCUCAGAAAUGCUCAAACUUCAGCCCGAAGAAGAAAAAGAUCCAUCCAACCCAGAAAUAAGACAAAUACCACACUUUAUUCCAAAUUUGAAACUAGUUAAGAUACACUAUAUUAAUCCUCAAUAUAUCUAUUUCACUCCAUUUGAGUAAAUUUCAUUCACAGAAAACAAAAAAAACUUUUAAGAUGUACUCCCACCCCAAUCUUUUUUUGGAUGAUCAUGGUGUAAGAGAUGCAAGAGGUUGGAAAUAUUGGGGGCGAAAAGAGGCAGAGGUAAGCCGAAGAAGUAUUAGGGAGAGGUGAUUAGACGGGAUAUGACACAUAUUCAACUUACUCAACUUACUGAGGACAUGACUUUAGAUAGGAGGGUAUGGAAGUCGUGGAUAAGGUUAGAAAGUUAAUAAACAGUUCAACUUUGUCUUAGUAUUAGCCUAUUCUUGUAAUUGGCUUGGUGGUAGUGUAGAGCACCGGGUUUGUCGUAGUAUUAGCCUAUUCCUAUAGCCUUAGGACUUUGGUAUCUGAUAUCAUAUGUUGUUUAUAACAUUUAGGUGAUCGCACCUUUUUGUUGACGCUAAGGUUCUUUGUAUAUAUGCUUAGCUCUGCUUAGAUAUUAGUUGUCAUGUUUCUCCCGUCAUACCUUUUUUUCUUUUUAAUUACUGCUUUGACAUGCUUUAUUUGAGUUGAGGGUUUUUCGGAAAUAGCAUCUCUACCUCCAAGAGGUAGUGGACUAGUGGUAAGGCUUGCAUAGACUCUACUCUCCCCAAGCCCCACUCUUUGGGACAUCCCACUAGGUAUGCUGUUGUUAUUGUAAUCGUGGUGUACAGGUCAGCUUUCGCACAUCAACUACUUCCACGAGAUACCUACCACCUUCUACCAGCAACAGGUGCUAGGCAAUUUUAUCAACUGAGGCUACGAUAAAUGGGAAAAUCAUUGCAACCGAUUUCAUUGACAACUAAGCCACAUUCUUAGCUGGUCUCCUAUCCAAAUUUAUGUCCCUCUUUCCUUUUUUUUUUAAUAGUCGAGGUCACGAGUUCAAGCCUUAGAAACAGCCUCUGGCAGAAAUUGCAAGGUAAGACUGUGUACAAUACACCUUUGUGGUGGGGCCCUUCCCCAGACCCUGCGCAUAGCGGGAGCUUUAGUGCGUCGGGCUGCCUUUUUUUUCCUUUUCUAGUCAACCUUAAGUAACAAUUUAACUUUACAGUUCUAAUUUUAUCAUUUACAACCACACAAUUAUAAAUGACAUAUUUUAGAUCAAACAUGUUUCAAAAGUCUUUCUUAGAGGUUGUAGCAGCUACGGGCUAUCCUAGGGUUCCCAAAAAAAAGUCUUUCUUGGAGUGGCAAAAUUAGCUCAUGAAAUCAGAAUUUGGGCUACAUAUAAACCUACCCAUCUAUUAACUCAGCUCAACCCAUUUCAUCCGACCAAAAUUUGGACCGAUUUCUAGUCCAAAUUGAUCCAUCAGAACUUUUCUCAAAAUAUUUUUUUACUUCAUAUAUUAUAUAUAACAAAAAAAAAAUAUAUCUUAUUAGGUACUGAGAAAAAUUAUAAAAGAACAAAUAAAACAUAGCAAGAAUGGGGUGGUACGGUUUUGACCCGUAUAUUAGCCCAUUAAGCCGACAUUUAUUAACUUGGUCCAUCUUAACCCACCAACAUUCGGGUAAACUAAGUAAAUGGCCCACUAGUGACUUUGUUUUUUUGUCCACCAUAAGAAAAGUCCUACAAACUAGCCUUCCUUCUUUUUGAUGUGUAGGACUUUUACCUAUUUGUCCCUCUAUACAUCAAAUAACUUCAACUCUCCAUGCUUAUUUACCUUACAACUUUUAAUCUUUUUUCCUUUUUUUUUAAUUUUUAAUUUUUUCUUUUCUUUUUUUUUUUUUAAAUUCAACCUUUACGUUUUUUUUCCUUUCUCUUCUCAACUACUAUUUAUUUUUCUUUGUUCUUUUCUCGUUUUAUUCUUUUUUAAAGAAAUUUUCUCAACCUUUAUUUUGUUUUUGUCAUUUUUUCUUAAUCUUUUUUUCUUUUAGUUUUUUCCUUUUCUCCUCUCAACUUUUAUUUUUUCCUCUUUUUUUAUUUGAUUUUUCUUUUUUCUUCUUUUAAAAAUAUUUUUUUUCAUUUUUUCCCUCAACUUUUAUUUUUUUCCUUUUUCCUUCAUUUUUUCCCUCAACUUUUAUUAUUUUUCUUUUUUCUUCAUUUUUUCCUUCAACUUUUAUUAUUUUUCUUUUUUCCCUUUUAUUUUCUUCAAUUCCUUCAAAGAACAAGUUACGCCCCAUGAGAAAAAUUGUCAUUACCACAUUGUGUUUUGAUUUAUAAGAUGUUCUAUAAAUCUUGCCUUAGAGGUAGGACUUAGCCUAAGGACUUUCAAAUAAAAUGUUACGUUCCACGGGCAAAAAUUGUCACUACCACAUUGUGUUUUGAUUUCUGAGAUGUUUUAUAACUACUGCUUUAGAGGCAAGACUUAGUCCAAGGACUUUCAAACAACAAAUUACGCCCCAUGGACAAGAGUUGAUACAACCACAUUGUGUUUUGAUUCAUGGGAUGCUCUAUAACUCUUGUCUUAGAAGCAAGAUUUAGUCUAAGGACUAUCAAAUGACAUGUUAUGCCCCAUGGGUAAGAGUUGACACUACCAUAUUGUGUCUUAAUUUAUGAUAUAUUCUAUAACUCUUGUCUUAGAGACAGAACUUAGAUCAAGAGCUUUAAAACAAUAAGUUAUGUCCAAUGAGCAAGAACUGACACCACCUCGUUGUGUUUGAUUUUCGAGAUGCUCUAUAGCUCUUGCCUUAGAGGCAAGACUUAGGUCAAGAACUUUCAAACAACAAUUUACGCGCCAUGGGCAAGAGUAAACGCUACCGCAUUGUGACUUGAUUUAUGAGAUGUUCUAUAACUCUUAUCUUAGAGACAAGACUUAGACCAAGGGCUUUCAAACCAAAAGUUACGCUCCAUGAACAAGCGUUGACACUACCACAUUGUAUUUUGAUUUAUAAAAUGUUCUACAACUCUUGCCUUAAAGACAGGACUUAGCCGAAGGACUUUCAAACAAUAUGUCCCAUGGACAAGAAUUAAUACAACCAGAUUGUGUUUUGAUUAAUGAAAUGCUCUAUAAUUCUUAUCUUAGUGGCAACACUUAGCACAAGGACUUCCAAAUAACAAUUUACGCCAUGGUCAAGAGUUGACGCUUCCAUAUUGUGUCUUGAUUUAUGACACUCUAUAACUCUUGCCUUAGAGACAAGACUUAGCCCAAGGACUUUCAUACAAGUUAUGCCUAUGGAUAAGAGUUGACACUACCACAUUAUGUCUAAAUUUAUGAGAUAG
rnacentral:lncRNA from 1 species